GGAGUUGCUGCAACGGCUCUGUCGUGCACUCGUGCUGCUAGCCGGUGAUGCGAGGUCACCGGAAUUGUUGUGAGCUAGUGUUGUCAGCAUUCUGUGAUGCCAGCGAAGCUUGCUAUGCAAGCAAGGUUUUGUGUGCGGUGUUGUGGAUGAAAAGAGAAAAGGCUAUGCCGCGUUGACUUCCAUCAAACUGUAAGAGAUGUCUAUAUCGUGACGGAUGUUUUUUGCCUUUCCUACAUCCGUAUGACGUCUAGCAGUCGUAGAAAAAAAGUCAGAAGGACGAACCAAGAAAAAACUACAGUUGAGUGCUCACAAGAAAUAUGAAGCCUCAUGUAUCACAUAUUGUAUAUAUUUUUUAAACGAGGUAAAAUAUUUG
rnacentral:lncRNA from 1 species